AACACAUCUUGGCCUUUCAGCUCACGAUGUAGUAUCUGUCCUCAUCAGUGUAAAUUCUGAUAUGUCCCUUAUCUGGGGACCAGAUGUUAAACUGAUUUUGGGGCUCUUGUGAUUCUAAUUUUUGCUUGUAUUCUAAAAAUGUCAACUUAAUGCCAGGUAGAGCUAUGUGGUCAUCAAGUAUUCUC